rnacentral:misc_RNA from 1 species
GGAAGUAAAGUCGUAACAAGGUCUCCGUUGGUGAACCAGCGGAGGGAUCAUUAUCGAGUCUAUAACUCCCAAACCCUAUGUGAACUUACCACUUGUUGCUUCGGCGCGCGCUUCGGCGCCGCCGAGGACACUUAAACUCUUUGUUUUUAUAAGCAUUUCUGAGUGGCCGAAAGGCAAAAUACAAAUGAAUCAAAACUUUCAACAACGGAUCUCUUGGUUCUG